GACGAACGCUGGCGGCGUGCUUAACACAUGCAAGUCGAACGGAAAGGCCCUGCUUUUGUGGGGUGCUCGAGUGGCGAACGGGUGAGUAACACGUGAGUAACCUGCCCUUGACUUUGGGAUAACUUCAGGAAACUGGGGCUAAUACCGGAUAGGAGCUCCUGCUGCAUUGUGGGGGUUGGAAAGUUUCGGCGGUUGGGGAUGGACUCGCGGCUUAUCAGCUUGUUGGUGGGGUAGUGGCUUACCAAGGCUUUGACGGGUAGCCGGCCUGAGAGGGUGACCGGCGAAAUUGGGACUGAGAUACGGCCCAGACUACAACGGGAGGCAGCAGUGGGGAAUAUUGCAGAAUGGGAGGAAGCCAGAUGCAGAAACGCCGCGUGCGGGAUGACGGCCUUCGGGUUGUAAACCGCUUUCGCCUGUGACGAAGCGUGAGUGACGGUAAUGGGUAAAGAAGCACCGGCUAACUACGUG
rnacentral:rRNA from 1 species